rnacentral:rRNA from 1 species
CCUACGUGUGGCAGCAGUGAGGAAUAUUGGUCAAUGGGCGCGAGCCUGAACCAGCCAAGUAGCGUGAAGGAUGACUGCCCUACGGGUUGUAAACUUCUUUUAUAAAGGAAUAAAGUGAGGCACGUGUGCCUUUUUGUAUGUACUUUAUGAAUACGGAUCGGCUAACUCCGUGCCAGUAGCCGCGGUAAUCCGGAGGAUCCGAGCGUUAUCCGGAUUUAUUGGGUUUAAAGGGAGCGUAGAUGGGUUGUUAAGUCAGUUGUGAAAGUUUGCGGCUCAACCGUAAAAUUGCAAUUGAUACUGGCAGUCUUGAGUACAGUUGAGGUAGGCGGAAUUCGUGGUGUAGCGGUGAAAUGCUGAGAGAUCACGAAGAACUCCGAUUGCGAAGGCAGCUUACUAAACUGCCACUGACAUUGAUGCUCGAAAGUGUGGGUAUCAAACAGGAUUAGAUACCCUUGUAGUC